UUGAUACUUUUGUUAAAUGACAUGCAAUAAGUCAAUGAAUAAAAAAAAAAUAUAUGCAAAUGCAAUUAAUUUUCUCUAAGUCGUUUCGACUUCUGUUCCUUCCUAUAAAUUAUUAUAAAAUCAAUUAUUAUUAUUUGUUUUAUUUUGCUUUAAAAUUUGUUAUUAUAGGUUCUUUUUUAGAGGUCUACCGAUAAUUACACGUUCAGAGGAGCUGACGAACUCGGCCAUAUACGCAACAUUCAUGAGGAUGGAACAGCGCAUGCGUCGUAUUUGAAUAUUUUAAUGAGAAGCUUUCUGACUAUUAUCAACGUCUGUUACGUGCCUGUCUGAUAAGUAGUCGAAGUGGUUAUUGGAGAUAUAUUUGAGGAUGUGGGAAGUUAUCUAUAAUAAUAAACUUAUAUUAGCAACGUCUGUUAAGUGCCUGUCUGAUAAGUAGUCGAAGCGGUUAUUGGAGAUAUAUUUUAGGCUGUGGGAAGUUAACUAAAAUAAUAAACUUAUAUUAACGUGAAUAAUUUAGCCUUAAAAUUAAACAAAAAUUUACUGAUAUUUAUAUCGGAAAUAUACUUUGAUACUAAUAAUAGUACAUUAUCAUUAGUUAUACCGCAUAAUACGUGAUAAAAACAUUAUUUGUCAUUUAAGAACAUCGCUAACGGUAAUAAAAUUAUUUUAUUAUCAAUAACCGUUGGAAUAAUUUUGAUAUACAAUAGCUGUAUUUUGAGAAACGAAUCGUGUAAAAACGAUACAAGCUCGGCUAUUGAUAAAGAAACUUUUCGAUUAUACGUAUCUGCAGUGCGAAUUCGAAUUGAAUAAAACAUAUGCGACUUUUAAGAAUAAAAUAAACUAACUGCUUAUAAAAUAAUAUCUACAAUAAUAAAAGAUUGAAAUUUUACAUUGAAUGAUUACAAACGAAUAUUAAGAAAAACAAGUUAUAAAAAAUCGAAUUGCUAAGAAUUGUGAACCUAAUAAGAAUAAAUGAUAUAAA